rnacentral:rRNA from 1 species
CUACGGGUGGCUGCAGUGGGGAAUAUUGCACAAUGGAGGAAACUCUGAUGCAGCAACGCCGCGUGGAGGAUGACACUUUUCGGAGCGUAAACUCCUUUAUAUAGGAAGAAGAUGACGAUACUAUAUGAAUAAGCGCCGGCUAACUCCGUGCCAGCAGCCGCGGUAAUACGGAGGGCGCAAGCGUUACUCGGAAUCACUGGGCGUAAAGAGCGUGUAGGCGGAUUAAAAAGUCAGAAGUGAAAUCCUAUAGCUUAACUAUAGAACUGCUUCUGAAACUCUUAAUCUAGAAUAUGGGAGAGGUAGAUGGAAUUUCUGGUGUAGGGGUAAAAUCCGUAGAGAUCAGAAGGAAUACCGAUUGCGAAGGCGAUCUACUAGAACAUUAUUGACGCUGAGACGCGAAAGCGUGGGGAGCAAACAGGAUUAGAUACCCGGGUAGUC